rnacentral:rRNA from 1 species
GACUGGGGCGGUCGCCUCCUAAAUAGUAACGGAGGCGCGCGAAGGUUGGCUCAGACCGGUCGGAAAUCGGUCGUUGAGUGCAAUGGCAUAAGCCAGCCUGACUGCGAGACUGACAAGUCGAGCAGAGACGAAAGUCGGUCAUAGUGAUCCGGUGGUCCCGCGUGGGUGGGCCAUCGCUCAACGGAUAAAAGCUACCCUGGG